GAUGAACGCUGGCGGCGUGCCUAAUACAUGCAAGUCGAGCGAACAGAUAAGGAGCUUGCUCCUUUGACGUUAGCGGCGGACGGGUGAGUAACACGUGGAUAACCUACCUAUAAGACUGGGAUAACUUCGGGAAACCGGAGCUAAUACCGGAUAACAUAUUGAACCGCAUGGUUCAAUAGUGAAAGGCGGCUUUGCUGUCACUUAUAGAUGGAUCCGCGCCGUAUUAGCUAGUUGGUAAGGUAACGGCUUACCAAGGCAACGAUACGUAGCCGACCUGAGAGGGUGAUCGGCCACACUGGAACUGAGAUACGGUCCAGACUCCUACGGGAGGCAGCAGUAGGGAAUCUUCCGCAAUGGGCGAAAGCCUGACGGAGCAACGCCGCGUGAGUGAUGAAGGUCUUCGGAUCGUAAAACUCUGUUAUCAGGGAAGAACAAAUGUGUAAGUAACUGUGCACAUCUUGACGGUACCUGAUCAGAAAGCCACGGCUAACUACGUG
rnacentral:rRNA from 1 species